CAAACGCGAUUCAAACUCAACAAAGACAAACACUACCAGGAUGAAAAGAAUAUGGUGUGUGAGAGAGGGUGGACUCAGUUGGCCUACCUCCCAAAUUUGCUGUACUGGUGUUAGAAAUGGGAUUGCGCUGCUGGGAGACUGUUGAAAGUGUGUCACAUCGGGAUUGAAAAACCCCUGACGGUAGUGUGCAAUUUCGGGCCGGGCCCAAUGUAGGCGGAGUCAAACGCGUUUAACCCGAACGCUUCCCGUCUCCUUCAACGUCACCCAAAUUGAGGCACAACGUCAACGAAAGCAAACCUUAAUUGAGCCUAGCCAACAUGGAUAAAAAUAUAGACCAUGAAAUACGCUCUGUACAUUGCAAUGGAAGCACAGUGUGAUUUCACUGAGGAAAACAUUAGGCGGCGGUGGUGCCUAGUUCUCCUGCAGAACUUUCCCAUGCUGUCUGAAGAAGAGAGGUUGAAAGAUCGAAAAAGACGAUACUGAAAACAAAACACGACGAGCUGUGAACUGGAAAGCAGAUGUUCUUCUAAGGGACACCCUAGAGGCAGCGAACAUUUAAAGGCAAUGUUUCCCUCCCUAGUGUAAUUGGGAUGGACGGGGAAGACCGCAUUACAAUCCUUAAAGAACUACGGUUGUAUGAUGGCCUGGAAGAAGAGGAAAAUAUUCUCCUCAAGGAACCAUUCAUGUUCCAGAGAGAUUAUGAGAUGUUCUAUGUGGAGGCAGUUGACAACAAGAACAUUACUGUCUUUGCCUCUUUUGAGGAGCAGAAGUGAAGCCAUUUUUGAGGACUAGUCAAACCUUGUUUUUGUCUGCUGUUUCAAUUGUUAAUUGUGUUAUAUUGUUUAGUAAAGAUGACAUAGAAGUCACCCGAGUCUCUGAUCUCUGUACUGGAGCUGGUAUAACUUAAUGUACAAAGCACCUUUCAGCUAUUCAGUAUGUCUACUAUAUAGUUUAGUCUCUCCAUUCUCAUUGGGAAAGUAAAUAGCAUUAUAAAUCAGGGUAGGUAGUAACUGUAUGUGUGUAUGCUCAAUGAAAUAAUAUAAAGUUAACAUUUAUCAACACAAUUUUAACAGUACAUGACAUAAGUCUGUUCACUGCAACAAUAUCAGUAGCUUGUCUAAAGUAUAGCAUGAAGCAAAAAGUGUUACAACACAUCUAGUACCACUUUGUAUAAUUAUUUCUUACAGUUUCAAAAAUGAAAUACGUUUGUAUUCAACGCGUGCCUUGUGCAAACUUGCGUGUUUGUAUUCAGUGUGUGACUGUCAAACCUCAGCUGGACUAAAAAAGGUGGGUGGGGUCAAACGUUUGACUCCGACCACAUUGAGACCGGCCCUGAAUUGCACACUGCAGUCAGGUGUACUUGUCAGGACUUGCACUUUCCAAAGGAAGGGGCAGAGAUUUGCAAAAAUUUCUGUAUUUGAAAUACGAAUUUCAAUUCUGAGUAUUUUGUCAUUUGUAGUACACUGGGCUGAACUAAACUCAAAUGUAUUUUGUAACAAGAUACUUUAGAGAGCUGUAGGUGUAUGUGCAUUUAUACUUUCAAAAUAAAUACUUUUC
ensembl:lncRNA